UACAGAGGUCUCGAGCGUUAGGCGGAAUCACUGGGAUUAAAGCGUGUGUAGGCGGAUCGGUAAGUACCUUGUGAAAUCCCACAGCUUAACUGGGGAACUGCGUCCGAUACUGGAUGGCUUGGAUUUGGGAGAGGGAUGCGGAAUUCCAGGUGUAGCGGUGAAAUGCGUAGAUAUCUGGAGGAACACCGGUGGCGAAGGCGGCAUCCUGGACCAAUAUUGACGCUGAGGAGCGAAAGCCAGGGGAGCGAACGGG
rnacentral:rRNA from 1 species